rnacentral:lncRNA from 1 species
CCGUAAUGAAAUCCCAAUCAACCGACACGAAGCCGUACGGAUUGAACAUCAACGCAUCGUACAAAGUGGCGGUCCUCGGUGCUGCCGGAGGGAUCGGUCAGCCUCUGUCACUUCUCAUCAAAAUGUCUCCUCUCGUCUCCACCCUCCACCUCUACGAUAUCGCCAACGUCAAGGGAGUCGCCGCUGAUUUGAGCCACUGCAACACUCCCUCUCAGGUUCGUGAUUUCACCGGACCGGCUGAGCUGGCUGAUUGUUUGAAAGAUGUCAACGUCGUUGUCAUCCCUGCUGGUGUGCCGAGAAAGCCCGGUAUGACCCGUGACGAUCUCUUCAACAUCAACGCCGGUAUAGUGAAGACGCUUGUUGAGGCUGUCGCUGAUAACUGUCCUAACGCGUUCAUCCACAUCAUCAGCAACCCUGUUAACUCCACCGUCCCCAUUGCUGCUGAGGUGUUGAAGAAGAAAGGUGUCUAUGAUCCCAAGAAGCUCUUUGGUGUCACCACUUUGGAUGUUGUGAGGGCUAACACCUUUGUUUCUCAGAAAAAGAACUUGAAGCUCAUCGAUGUCGACGUUCCGGUCAUCGGUGGCCACGCUGGAAUCACUAGGAAUGUAUGGAACAAAUGGAACUAGAAUCAACAUAAUAAAAUGGAAUUGAAUAGUAAUAAUUUGAAAAAUUAAGGGAAUGAUAUAUUUAUAUGUUUUUAAUUAUAUUAAAAUUAUCUCAUUUCAUCCAUUCCUUUUAUUCUUUUUUUUCUUGUUAUCAUGAAUGAUUUUAAACGUGAUUCACAAACUUUUUCUAUUUUCUCAUAGGAAUGUAUGGAACAAAUGGAACUAGAAUCAACAUAAUAAAAUGGAAUUGAAUAGUAAUAAUUUGAAAAAUUAAGGGAAUGAUAUAUUUAUAUAUUUUUAAUUAUAUUAAAAUUAUCUCAUUUCAUCCAUUCCUUUUAUUCUUUUUUUUUCUUGUUAUCAUGAAUGAUUUAAAACGUGAUUCACAAACUUUUUCUAUUUUCUCAUAGGAAUGUGUGGGAUCAAAAAUUUUGAUUUUUUUCAGUCAACUGAUAAUUGGUUUUAGAAUACUCAUGAACAAUUCAUAAAAAAAACAUUCCAGUUACAGCCUAUAUAUUGUGAGUCCACUAAACUCAACGGAAACAGUUUUUUUAAAAAAGAAAAAUCAUUAAUUAAAAUAGAAUACAACAAUAGUACGACAAAUGAAACAAGAACAAAAAUACACCUAAGUCUAACCACAUGUUACAACAAAUUCAUGAAAAGAUAAAAAGAUAUGAAUGCCAAGAUUAAUGCAUGACACAUGAGCCCAUCCUAAAAUGAUUGUUAGAACCUCAAGAACUCAUCCGAGAAUAGCAUCAUUGGGCAGUCUCCACUAGACGAGAAAUAACAAUUGCAGCAUUUAGACAAUUCUGAACCCAUAAGCAUAGACUGAUUGAACAGUGCACCGAGGUUACCAACUCCCCAACUAGACAAGGAAUUCAGCCUAAGCGCAAGAACAUGGACUAACCUUUGCGUCAAACUGCCCAAAUCACAACAUUCACCAAUCCAUAAUCCACAUACGAAAGAAGAGAAGACCAAAGCUUGCAAUCGAGGAAAAAAUGAGUCGACAAAAAUGAUAGACACCCAUAAACAGAGAGAAUAGAGGAGAGAGGAGCCUUACCAUGGAUAGGAAAGAACACGGCUUCAAUGCAACAAGUAGGUGGAUAUAAACCAGAGGAGAAAACACACUACCUUCACACUGACACACCAACCAAAGCCUGAAGGACAUAAAGCAGACCAUACAACAUCGAACGCGACUGGAACAUAAAAACCGAAGGUUCAAAGGUGUGAAAUUCGACCACAUAAAGAAAACGAUAAGCUUCUGCUAGCACUAGGAAGAAGGGUCCCCCUGUGCACCCACUGCAAAGCUUCCACCAUCGGGAGACAACGCUAAUGGUAAACCCUCGCGACACAUUGCCUCCAAGAGCCGGAGAGAAGAAACAAAAUCCGCCGCUCGUCAGCCACUCAUCGGUUCGCCACACCGCCCCAAAGGAAAGUAGAUCGAAGAUGGAUAAGGAUCCCCACUGAGUCACACGGCGUCGUCAACAAAAACACAUAGGAGAUCUAGGAAAAGGAAAAAUUAGAUCCAGCGGCAAUUUUGGUUUUAAACACUAUUUGUGAACUGAUUUUUUAAAAUUUGCUUACAUGUCAUAACCACAUUAAUUCUCACAAAAAUAUGAUAUGGCUUCUAAAAAUUAAAAGACAAGAAGGUAAUUGUGAGAUGUACAGUUUUAUUUAUCUAAAGUUAUUUUUUUGGUAAGUUUUUAAAUAUGAUAAUGAUUCAUAUAUCAUCAUUAACAUUAAUAUAAAUAAAUUAAUAAUAUAUUUAAAAAUAUAGCAAUAUUUUCAUGUUAUAAAAUAUAGAAAAAUAUAUAUACACUAUUUUGUCAAAAUUAAUUAGAAGUAUCUUAACUUCUUUUUUGACAACAAAAAUUACUCUACUAAGAAACCAUCGGAUUGGAGAGCCAAACCGGAGGAAAUGAUUCAACAUAUAACAUAGGUGAAAGAGAACUCUUCGCACCACUUGCGAGCUUGUCCGUCAAUUUGUUUUGUUAACAUAUACAAAAUUAUGAUAUUAUAUAUUGUUAAUUUUUUGAGAUUUUAACUAAAAGAUGUUAAGCAGUGUGAAUUUAAGUUUUCAAAUUAUCAAUUUAUUCAUGUUUAAUCGCAAAGAAAUAUCAGGAAGAAAUAUCUAAAUUGGACGAUUGAUGGCUAAUUAAUAGAUUUAUUUUAUUAGUUUAAUCUAUCUUAUAUAAAGCAAAAAAUAAUAUUUACUAGUAUUUAUACAUUUAGAUAUUAAAAUAAAUAUACUAUUUAAACGUAAUAUCUUUUUUUUUAGAAAAUAAAAAUCUAAUCUUAAUAAAAUUUAUAUAAGUGUAAAUAAAUUUAAAUUUAAUAGUUAAAAUAAAUUACAAAUAAUUGGUUUAAUGGUUUUAACUUUUAAACCAAUAAAUUUAGAAAUUAAUUAUAUUUAGUAUUGAUUAAAAUUAUUAUUUUAUAACUGCGUAUGGCGCAGAAAGCCUGCUAAUCAUUUUUAUCACGAUCUUUGCAAAAAAAGGACUGAGAGAAAGAAAAGAGGGGUCAAGUGUUUACGCUGCGUUUUGUGGGGGUGGGGGUGUCGUACGGACACAACUAAAAGACGCGCUGUAGAUUUCGCAUCACCUCUUGGCGGAGCCAACGAGACACCCCAACCCAAACACUCAGAGAUCUGAUAGAAUAACACAACUCUUAAAAAACUUUUCUCUCUUAUUCUUUAAUUUAUUUAUAUUUAAAAAUUAGGUAUUUAUUCUUUCUUUCUUCCUUUCUACAUCGUCACCAACCUACCUACCUCUAAUCUCAUUUGUCUCUCUCUCACUCACUCAAACCCUCGAAAGCCUGCGAAGAAAACUCUUGAAGCGUCUCUAUCUCUCUCGUCUUGAGCUUUCCUCAAAGGUAUAGAUUCUCAAUCUCUCUCUUUUCAGUCCAUAUUACGAUUAGAUUGCAGAUUGUAUUGGAACAUAUAUCAUCUCUGUAACUGGAUUCCCCCAUUCUUUAGAUCUGAAUCGUUUCUUAGAACCGACUCUCAGUCUUAUGGUUUUACGUCUCUUGUGGAUUAGAUUAGAGUUUCUGCCUUUUUUGCUUAUUAUUGCUGGCUGUUAUCUUUGUGAAAACAGAUGGCAGCAACAUCAGCAGCUUCUUCGAUUUCAAUUGGAUCAAACCUUUCCAGAGCCACCAGCUCCUCCUCAAGGGCACAAGCUGUUAACUUUAACUACUCUCUCCCUCGUUUCACCGCUCUGAGAUCAUCCACUCUCCUCUCUGGACCAGAAUCCUCAUCUUUCGCCAAGUCUCUCCGCGGUUCCGUAAUGAAAUCCCAAUCAACCGACACGAAGCCGUACGGAUUGAACAUCAACGCAUCGUACAAAGUGGCGGUCCUCGGUGCUGCCGGAGGGAUCGGUCAGCCUCUGUCACUUCUCAUCAAAAUGUCUCCUCUCGUCUCCACCCUCCACCUCUACGAUAUCGCCAACGUCAAGGGAGUCGCCGCUGAUUUGAGCCACUGCAACACUCCCUCUCAGGUUCGUGAUUUCACCGGACCGGCUGAGCUGGCUGAUUGUUUGAAAGAUGUCAACGUCGUUGUCAUCCCUGCUGGUGUGCCGAG